UGGAGGACUGAGAAAGUGAGGCAGUUCUGUACCAUGCUGCCUUCCACUGGUUAAGACCUCCGAAAGUGAACGGCUGCCCAGGCCGAGCAUGUCCCUCUGCCACCCUCGGAGGGGCAGCGCUAUGCUGGCCAACAGUUG
rnacentral:snoRNA from 13 species